AUCUGACCUCAAAUCAGGUAGGACUACC
rnacentral:rRNA from 1 species